GCCAUUGCAUUGUUUUUGGAAGAUUGGUGCUGGCAUCAGAUGGAACCCCAUGUCGGUUGGCAAAAGCUUUUCGAAGAUAAUCGAAACCAUGGGGUCCAGAUAAAAUAGACUUCAUAAUUCCUAUACGAGCUUUGCUUAUCUCUUGUUUAAGCACCAGAAUCUGCUCCAAGACAAACUGCAGACCCCUAAUCAAGGCAAUCUCACAUGGAUUCUUCGACUUAUCUUCAGUUUGACAUAUCUCAGUUAACUCUCCAAAUAAACUCUCGUAACUAGCCUUCAGCUGGCCCUCUUUUGAAGGAGAG
rnacentral:misc_RNA from 1 species